rnacentral:snRNA from 1 species
AGCUUUGCACAGUGGCAGUAUCGUAGCCAAUGAGGUUAAUCCAAGGCGAGAUUAUUGCUAACUGGAAACUUUUACCAGAGUUCUGAUUAACUUUUAACUUUUAACUCCUGCUUCCAAAACACACAGUGAUUUGAAAAAGAAAACACAACCUUUUGUGGCUUCCUUUGGCAA